CCAUAGAUUACCUCUGUAUGAAUGUACUUCUUAAAUGAAGGCAAGUGUUUGUCCUUUUUUGUUCCUCAGGUACAGUACGUGAUAUCAAGGGCAGGUGGUCAACACUGGGGACAAGAAGCAGACAUACUUCCAAGAGGGAGCUGCAGUGAGGUCAGAGGAGGCGCUGGAAGGUUUCCCUAAUAGUUCCUGGUGAAUCAAAGCAGAACCAUAAAGGUUGCUGGACUGCAUGAUGGCCUUACCCCUGAGCAGUCAUCCUGUUAAAGGAGGAACCAGUUAGAAGCUGUUUUCAAAGUAGCUGAGCAGAUUUCAUCUCAACAGACAAAGCCGAUGGCAGAAGAUGUCAGAGAAGAACUUCAGGCCGUGGACUGAAAAGGUAUUUUUUUCUUGUUAUCAAAAGACAUUUGGAGUGGCAGCUUCUACAACUGGUUGUGCUAAAGUAAAGCUUACAGUCUAAGAAAUCACAGUGUUGAUAUUCAGCACAAAGAGAAAAGCUCACUUGUUUGAAUUUAUUUACAAUCAUAGUUUUAUAAA